rnacentral:misc_RNA from 1 species
GUGAGUCAUCGAAUCUUUGAACGCACAUUGCGCUCCCUGGCAUUCCGGGGAGCAUGCCUGUCCGAGCGUCAUUUCAGCCCUCAAGCGCGGCUUGUGUGUUGGGCGUGGUCCCCCGAUCGUUGGGGGACCUGCCCGAAAGGCAGCGGCGACGUUCCGCCUGGGUCCUCGAGCGUAUGGGGCUUUGUCACCGGCUCGGGAUGGACCCACGGGCGUUGGUCAUCCACCAUUUUGUUUCCACGGUUGACCUCGGAUCAGGUAGGAGUUACCCGCUGAACUUAAGCAUAUCAAUAAGCGGAGGA